rnacentral:rRNA from 1 species
GCACAAGCGGUGGAGCAUGUGGUUUAAUUCGACGCAACGCGAAGAACCUUACCUGGGCUCGAAAUGUAACGGAAUCCGGCAGAAACGUCGGCGUCUAGCAAUAGACCGUUAUAUAGGUGCUGCAUGGCUGUCGUCAGCUCGUGUCGUGAGAUGUUGGGUUAAGUCCCGCAACGAGCGCAACCCUUAUCUUCAGUUGCUACCAUUUAGUUGAGCACUCUGACGAAACCGCCUCGGAUAACGGGGAGGAAGGUGGGGAUGACGUCAAGUCCUCAUGGCCUUUAUGUCCAGGGCUACACACGUGCUACAAUGGCCGGUACAAACCGCUGCAACCCCGCGAGGGUGAGCUAAUCGGAAAAAGCCGGCCUCAGUUCGGAUUGGAGUCUGCAACUCGACUCCAUGAAGCUGGAAUCGCUAGUAAUCGUGGAUCAGCAUGCCACGGUGAAUACGUUCCCGGGC